UCUGCCUGGUAGUGGGGGAUAACGUCCGGAAACGGACGCUAAUACCGCAUACGUCCUACGGGAGAAAGCAGGGGACCUUCGGGCCUUGCGCUAUCAGAUGAGCCUAGGUCGGAUUAGCUAGUUGGUGGGGUAAUGGCUCACCAAGGCGACGAUCCGUAACUGGUCUGAGAGGAUGAUCAGUCACACUGGAACUGAGACACGGUCCAGACUCCUACGGGAGGCAGCAGUGGGGAAUAUUGGACAAUGGGCGAAAGCCUGAUCCAGCCAUGCCGCGUGUGUGAAGAAGGUCUUCGGAUUGUAAAGCACUUUAAGUUGGGAGGAAGGGCAGUAAAUUAAUACUUUGCUGUUUUGACGUUACCGACAGAAUAAGCACCGGCUAACUCUGUGCCAGCAGCCGCGGUAAUACAGAGGGUGCAAGCGUUAAUCGGAAUUACUGGGCGUAAAGCGCGCGUAGGUGGUUCGUUAAGUUGGAUGUGAAAUCCCCGGGCUCAACCUGGGAACUGCAUUCAAAACUGACGAGCUAGAGUAUGGUAGAGGGUGGUGGAAUUUCCUGUGUAGCGGUGAAAUGCGUAAUAUAGGAAGGA
rnacentral:rRNA from 1 species